UUUGGAGAGGAUGCUUCGGGUACGGCUCCGGUCUAAGUUCCUUGGAACAGGACGUCAUAGAGGGUGAGAAUCCCGUAUGUGACCGGCCUCCACGCCCGUGUGAAGCUCCUUCGACGAGUCGAGUUGUUUGGGAAUGCAGCUCAAAAUGGGUGGUAAAUUUCAUCUAAAGCUAAAUACCGGCCAGAGACCGAUAGCGCACAAGUAGAGUGAUCGAAAGAUGAAAAGCACUUUGAAAAGAGAGUUAAAAAGUACGUGAAAUUGUUGAAAGGGAAGCGCUUGCAACCAGACUUGCCCGCGGGUGAUCAGCCGGUAUUCUUACCGGUGCACUCGCCCGUGGUCAGGCCAGCAUCGGUUUGGGCGGUUGGAUAAAUGCCCCCGGAACGUAGCUCCCCUCGGGGAGUGUUAUAGCCGGGGGUGCAAUGCAGCCCGCCCGGACCGAGGACCGCGCUUCGGCUAGGAUGCUGGCGUAAUGGUUGUAAGCGACCCGUCUUGAAACACGGACCAAGGAGUCUAACAUCUAUGCGAGUGUUUGGGUGACAAACCCAUGCGCGUAAUGAAAGUGAACGGAGGUGGGAACCCUCAAGGGCGCACCAUCGACCGAUCCUGAUGUCUUCGGAUGGAUUUGAGUAAGAGCAUAGCUGUUGGGACCCGAAAGAUGGUGAACUAUGCCUGAAUAGGGUGAAGCCAGAGGAAACUCUGGUGGAGGCUCGCAGCGGUUCUGACGUGCAAAUCGAUCGUCAAAUUUGGGUAU
rnacentral:rRNA from 1 species